rnacentral:rRNA from 1 species
AGAGUUUGAUCAUGGCUCAGAAUGAACGUUGGCGGCGUGGAUUAGGCAUGCAAGUCGAGCGAGAAGUUUUAAAAAGAUACUUCGGUUGAUUUUUAGAAUGGACAGCGGCGAAAGGGAGAGUAACGAGUAGAUACGUACCCAGGGGUCCAGGAUAGCCAUGCGAAAGCGUGAGUAAUACUGGAUAAUGUCUCCGGACCAAAGAUUUAUUGCCCUUGGAGCGGUUUGCUUACUAUUAGCUUGUUGGUGGGGUAAAGGCCUACCAAGGCAAAGAUGGUUAGCGGGUGUGAGAGCAUGGCCCGUCUCACUGGGACUGAGACACUGCCCAGACACCUACGGGUGGCUGCAGUCGAGAAUCUUCCGCAAUGGACGAAAGUCUGACGGAGCGACGCCGCGUGCUGGAUGAAGGCCCUCGGGUUGUAAACAGCUGUCGUAGGGGAGGAAAUUUUGACCGAUCCUAGGAGGAAGCACAGGCUAAGUUCGUGCCAGCAGCCGCGGUAAUACGAACUGUGCAAACGUUAUUCGGAAUCACUGGGCUUAAAGGGUGCGUAGGCGGGUUGGUAGGUCAGAUGUGAAAGCCCACGGCUCAACCGUGGAAUUGCGUUUGAAACCCCCAGUCUUGAGGGGAUCAGAGGAGAGCGGAACUGAUGGUGGAGCGGUGAAAUGCGUUGAUAUUAUCAGGAACACCGGUGGCGAAAGCGGCUCUCUGGGAUCUUUCUGACGCUGAGGCACGAAAGCUAGGGGAGCGAACGGGAUUAGAUACCCCGGUAGUCCUAGCUGUAAACGAUCUGUACUAGUCCGUGGGGACUCCCACAUCUUCUCGGACGUAGCGAAA